UGGGGAAUAUUGGACAAUGGACGAAAGCCUGAUCCAGCCAUGCCGCGUGUGUGAAGAAGGUCUUCGGAUUGUAAAGCACUUUAAGUUGGGAGGAAGGGCAUUAACCUAAUACGUUAGUGUUUUGACGUUACCGACAGAAUAAGCACCGGCUAACUCUGUGCCAGCAGCCGCGGUAAUACAGAGGGUGCAAGCGUUAAUCGGAAUUACUGGGCGUAAAGCGCGCGGAGGUGGUUUGUUAAGUUGGAUGUGAAAUCCCCGGGCUCAACCUGGGAACUGCAUUCAAAACUGACUGACUAGAGUAUGGUAGAGGGUGGUGGAAUUUCCUGUGUAGCGGUGAAAUGC
rnacentral:rRNA from 1 species